rnacentral:rRNA from 1 species
CCUACGGGAGGCAGCAGUGGGGAAUUUUGGACAAUGGGCGCAAGCCUGAUCCAGCAAUGCCGCGUGAGUGAAGAAGGCCUUCGGGUUGUAAAGCUCUUUUGUCAGGGAAGAAACGGUGGAGGUUAAUACCUUCUGCUAAUGACGGUACCUGAAGAAUAAGCACCGGCUAACUACGUGCCAGCAGCCGCGGUAAUACGUAGGGUGCAAGCGUUAAUCGGAAUUACUGGGCGUAAAGCGUGCGCAGGCGGUUGUGCAAGACAGAUGUGAAAUCCCCGGGCUCAACCUGGGAAUUGCAUUUGUGACUGUACGGCUAGAGUGUGUCAGAGGGGGGUAGAAUUCCACGUGUAGCAGUGAAAUGCGUAGAGAUGUGGAGGAAUACCGAUGGCGAAGGCAGCCCCCUGGGAUAACACUGACGCUCAUGCACGAACGACGUGGGGUAGGACGAACAGGAGUAGUAUACCUACGGUAGUACCGACCGACCCGUAACCGAACUAGUCUACUAGUU